CGUCCAAUCUCUCUCUCCCCCGAGUUCCUCCCCCCAUUUUCUUUGCAAAUUCAUCCACUGACGGCGCUACCCUGGACCGCAGGAAUUGUGGUGUGUUCCCGGUGGAGUCCCAGGAUUCCAUGACUUCUCCAGCUCUAGAGCUCGAGAAGGGCGACGAAGCACUGGUUGGUGGACAUGGGCAGAGAUACGAGGUGUGCUCUGAAGCUACUAGCGGCUAGACGAGGAGGGUGAGGCUAGUGAAGGCACCUGAAGAGAGGGAGAUGAACCCUGAUAGGAAAAAAACACUUGAGUCGUCUGUCCGUGCUUAUGCUGAAAAUCGUGAAGGUCAUGUCAUCAAUCCAAAAAUUGGCACAGAAUUUGACUCACUGGAUGAGUUUUACAACCUUUAUUCAUGGGAAACUGGGUUUGGUGUACGGCUGGCAAAAAGCAGACUCAAUGUGCAAAGAACAAGAUGUAUGCAAGAGAUUGUGUGUGCCUGUGCGGGUUCCCCAUUGAAAGAGAACAUCCGUUCGUCGAGGUGUGGAUGAGUGUGUCGUGCUUGGCGACAGCAAUGUCAAGUGCUAUGAUGUUUUCAUGGCCAUGAUGAAGGAGGUGCAUGCAACUCUGCUUCCACUUAGUGUCGAUAAAGAUGGAAUGGGGCUUGCAGAGAGAGAGAGAGAGAAACAGCAGCAGAUUGUAGCGCAAAAGGAACAUGCAUCUGUGGAUGGCAAUGUUGUGCUGCAAAAAACUACAGGUGAUGGUGAAUCCAGUUGCUCAGCUGUUGGGCUAAAUGAGAAGAAGAGGCAAAGGGGAGGGCCAACGACCAGCAGGGACAAGGCUCCGUAUGAGCAACAACUUAAGAGGUCGCGGUUUUGCACGAUCUGCAGAGAGCAGGGGCACAAAUGUACAACUUGUCGCAGCGAGGUGAUUUGCCGAAGACUCCAAGAAGUUGCCGAAAUGCACAAACUGUGGUGUCGUUGGACAUGGGCGCAAUAAUUGCGGGACUAAGAAAACCGGCCCAUUUGAGCCAAACUUCCUGUAGGCAGUAUGAGUUCUUCAGGAUCCAACCAUUUUCGUUAACUGCCUCCAAUGUGAGACAAUUUUCUUCCCUUGCAUGUGUCCGGUUGAAAUAUUGUGGUUGGUCAAGUUUUAUGUUGUGUGUGCACGAAAGAAA